rnacentral:lncRNA from 1 species
CUGCCCUCGGGCACCCUGCAAGGUGGGCGAGGGGCUCAGGGGGACACAGAGGGGGUUCGGGGGGUUCAGGGGGGCUCCCUGCCCUUGGGCACCCCGCAAGGUGGGUCGGGGGACACAGAGAGACUUCGGGGGGCUCAGGGGGGAUUUAGGGGGUCCCUGCGCUCGGGGAGCCCCCAAGGUGGGUGAGGGACCCUCCGUGGGGCCCUCAGGAGGGGAUUUGGGGGCACCGGCCCAGGGGGGGCUCGUGGGGGGGGGCCUGGCUGGGGGUGUGCGUGGGGGGGAGGGGGGUCCGUGUGUCCCUGUGUGUCCCCAUGUCCCUGUGUCCUUGUCCCUGUGUCACCCUGUGUGUCCCCAUGUCCCUGUGUCCCUCUGUGUCCCCAUGUCCCUGUCCCUGUGUGUCCCUCUCCAUGUGUUCCCAUGUCCGUGUGUCCCCGUGUCCACAUGUCCCUGUGUCCUUGUGUCUGUCCAUGUCCGUGUGUGUCUGUGUGUCCCCGUGUCCCCAUGUCCCUUUGUGUCCCCCUGUGUGUCCCUGUCCGUGUGUGCCCCUGCCCCUGUGUCCUUCUGUGUCCCCAUGUCUGUGUCCCUGUCCGUGUGUCCCCGUGUCCCUGUCCGUGUGUCCCUGUGUGUCCCCGUGUCCCUGUCCCUAUGUCCCUGUCCCCGUGUCCCCGUGUCCCUGUCCAUGUGUCCCUGUCCGUGUGUCCCUGUGUGUCCCCGUGUCCCUGUCCCUAUGUCCCUGUCCGUGUGUCCCUGUGUGUCCCCCUCUCCGUGUGUCCCUGUGUGUCCCCCUGUCUGUGUGUCCCUGUGUGUCCCCGUGUCCCUGUCCAUGUCUCCCUGUGUGUCCCCAUGUCCGUGUGUCCCUCUGUGUCCCCCUGUCCGUGUGUCCCUGUGUGUCCCCCCUGUCCGUGUGUCCCCGUGUCCCUGUCCCCGCUCUCGGCGGGGCGCGGCUGGCCCCGAGGUGCCAGUGCCACCUGUGCUGUCCCAGGCCGUGCCCCGGGUGACCUCGUGAUCCGCAGCCUGACCGUGGCCCACGCUGGCACCUACCAGUGCCGGGUCACCAACCGCGUGGGCUACUCGGUGUGCCAGCUGAGCCUGAACCCUGGGCCCCGUGAGUGGCACUGGGGACACCGGGGACAUUGGGGACACUGGGGACAUUGGGGACACUGGGGACAUUGGGGGCAUUGGGGACAUUGGGGACACUGGGGACACUGGGGACAUUGGGGGACAUUGGGGACAUUGGGGGACAUUGGGGGCAUUGGGGACAUUGGGGACAUUGGGGACACUGGGGGACACUGGGGACACUGGGGAUAUUGGGGACAUUGGGGACAUUGGGGGCAUUGGGGACACCGGGGACAUUGGGGACAUUGGGGUGUGCCAGCUCAGCCUGAACCCCAGCCCACGUGAGUGGCAUCGGGGACACAAGGGACAUUGGGGACAUUGGGGACAUUGGGGACACGGGGGACAUUGGGGACAUGGGGGACACUGGGGACAUUGGGGACAUUGGGGACACCGGGGGGACACUGAGGUGGCACCAGGAUGUCUCAGGUGCCAGGGUGUCCCAAGGGUGGCCCUGGGGUGGCACCGUGGGUGGUCCUGUGUGUCACCAGGGAUGGCUCUGGGUGGCACCGGGUGACUCUGGGUGGCACUGGGGGUGGCACCGGGUGUCCCUGGGCUCCAAUCUGGUCCUGGGUGGCACCGGGUGACUCUGGGUGGCACUGGGGGUGGCACCGGGUGUCCCUGGGCUCCAAUCUGGCCCUGGGGUGGCACCGGGUGACUCUGGGUGGCACCGGGUGGCACCGGGUGGCACCGGGUGACUCUGGGUGGCACUGGGGGUGGCACCGGGUGUCCCUGGGCUCCAAUCUGGCCCUGGGUGGCACCGGGUGGCACCGGGUGGCACCGGGUGGCCCUGGGCUCCAAUCUGGCCCUGGGUGGCACCGGGUGGCACUGGGGCGCCCGGGCAGCCGGCGAGGCCGGCGGUGACAGGCUGUGCCCCCACGGCAGGCGGGCGCCAGGCUGGCAUCAUCGUGGGCUCCAUCCUGGGCUCCCUCCUCCUGCUCAGCCUCCUGGGGCUGCUGAUCUGGGCACUGAUCGCCCGCUACCAGCGCAAGGAGUGCCAGCGCGCCUGCAGCGACUGCAGGUGGGCACCGCGGGGGCGCGGGGCGCCAGGGACUGGCACGGGGCUGGACUGGGCUGGACUAGGCUGGACUGGGCACCAGUGACUGGCACUGAGCUGUACUGGUCUGUACUGGGCACCAGUGAGUGGCACGGGGCUGUACUGGGCACCAGGGACUGGUACUGGGCUGUACUGGGCUGUACUGGGCACCAGUGACUGGCACUGGGCUCUACUGGGAUCUNNNNNNNNNNNNNNNNNNNNNNNNNNNNNNNNNNNNNNNNNNNNNNNNNN